GGGUCGAUAGCUCAAUUGGUAGAGCAGUUGCCUUUUAAGCAAUUGGUUCUGGGUUCGAGUCCCAGUCGACCCACCA
rnacentral:tRNA from 1 species